UACGUAGGGUGCAAGCGUUAUCCGGAAUUAUUGGGCGUAAAGAGCUCGUAGGCGGUUUGUCGCGUCUGCUGUGAAAACUGGAGGCUCAACCUCCAGCCUGCAGUGGGUACGGGCAAACUAGAGUGCGGUAGGGGAGAUUGGAAUUCCUGGUGUAGCGGUGGAAUGCGCAGAUAUCAGGAGGAACACCGAUGGCGAAGGCAGAUCUCUGGGCCGAUACUGACGCUGAGGAGCGAAAGCGUGGGGAGCAAACAGG
rnacentral:rRNA from 1 species